GAGCUGAUGGAUCUGAGGAACCUUAAUGGAGCUGAUGGAUCUGAGGAACCUUAAUGGAGCUGAAGGAUCUGAGGAACCUUAAUGGAGCUGAAGGAUCUGAGGAACCUUAAUGGAGCUGAAGGAUCUGAGGAACCUUAAUGGAGCUGAAGGAUCUGAUUAACCUUAAUGGAGCUGAAGGAUCUGAGGAACCUUAAUGGAGCUGAAGGAUCUGAGGAACCUUAAUGGAGCUGAAGGAUCUGAGGAACCUUAAUGGAGCUGAAGGAUCUGAGGAACCUUAAUGGAGCUGAAGGAUCUGAGGAACCUUAAUGGAGCUGAAGGAUCUGAGGAACCUUAAUGGAGCUGAAGGAUCUGAGGAACCUUAAUGUAGCUGAUGGAUCUGAGGAACCUUAAUGGAGUUGAUGGAUCUGAGGAACCUUAAUGGAGUUGAUGGAUCUGAGGAACCUUAAUGGAGUUGAUGGAUCUGAGGAACCUUAAUGGAGCUGAAGGAUCUCUGUGUCUCUAUAGGAACCUUCAGUGUUUGUUCUGGACAGAUGGUGGAGCCAGAAGAUCAUUGAAACAAACAUCCAGAACUCCUGCUUCAGCUCCUAUUUAGCUGAUUUAACAGAAUCGGGACCAUGAAUCCAUCUGACCACCAGGUGUCCUCACACCUCAAUCACACCUGGAGUCCUCCUGCUCACCUGCAGCUUGUCGUCCAAUCAGCUCUCAGCAGGACUUCCUGUUUUGUUUGAGGUAGAUUGGUGUUUUUGCCUCUUUGUCCUGUAAAUUUUUAUUACAUGAACUAGAAAAUGCGAAUACAGGUGUAAACAUGAGUCAUGUGACGUCUGCAGUGUUUCAGGGACUGCAGAUGUUAUUAAGAGAGUCAGUGCUGCCCCCAGGUGGUCGGUCCCGGUAUGAAGAGGAUCCCAGCUGAUAAAAUAAAAACCUGCUGCUGCUGUGAGGAGAUGAAAUCUGCUCAUCUGUAAAAGUGAGUUUCUGCUCAGAGACUGAAAACAUCCUGUAGCAUAUUUAACAAGCAUGACGCCCCCUGGUGGCUGCUGUUGGUGGUGAACUACAAGUAAACGAAACAUCUUUGGACAAAACGAGGCAUUUGAGGACGUCAUCUUUGACCUUUUCUGGCAUUUCAUAACCAAACAACGGAUCCAUUAUUCCCGAAAAUAAACAACAGUGGAAAUAAGGGUUAGCUGCAGCUCUGUUUGCGUGAAAGACACAUUUUAGAGUUUUAUUUUAACAUCUUUUAAUAAUUUUUUAAGAUAAACAGAUUUUAUUUGUAAAAUCCUGAUCUGGAAAGUUGCUGUCAGACACUAAAGGUACUGUGAAGUAGCAUAAAUCUGGGAAGUACAAAUACUGCAAAAGUACUUAACUAAAGUUGUUGAGUAAAUGUAAUUAGUUACUUUCCACUGCUGGUUGGUUUCUGUGUUUCCUUAUAGUUGUGAAGCUUUUAUUUUUUACAGGAUUGGUUUAAAGGAGGAUUCAUUUAUCAGUCUGUUUAUCUAUCUAUAUCUAUCUCCGUGUAUUUCUUCUUCUAUUAAUCUCUAAUCAAAUCUAAAUUUAUGUAUCUUUAUUACAUGUGUUUUAAAUUAACAGUCUGUUUAUCUUUCUGUCUCUGUGUAUUUCUAUUAUCUCCAUCUAUUUCUUUCUUCUUUAUCUCUUUUUAUGUAUGCAUCUCUAUUAUCUUUCUAUUUCUGUCCAUUUCUAUCUCCACCUCCUUCAGUUUCUAUACUUGUCUUUAUUUCACUAUAAAUGUCUA